GACGGAAGGUGCAAGCGUUGCUCGGAAUCACUGGGCGUAAAGGGCGCGUAGGCGGCUUAACAAGUCACUUGUGAAAUCUCCGGGCUUAACUCGGAACGGCCAAGUGAAACUGUCAAGCUAGAGUGCAGAAGGGGCAAUCGGAAUUCUUGGUGUAGCGGUGAAAUGCGUAGAUAUCAAGAGGAACACCUGAGGUGAAGACGGGUUGCUGGGCUGACACUGACGCUGAGGCGCGAAAGCCAGGGGAGCAAACGGG
rnacentral:rRNA from 1 species